rnacentral:lncRNA from 1 species
CAAGUCUGUAUAGGAAAAACCAACACCAAACUUUAAUCGUUUUACAUUCAUUAAAUAAAAAGUUAGUUCAUCAAAAGCAGACAGGAUAUAUAGAAUUAAUGUGUAUUUCUCUCGGUUGUUUUAAAAAUAAAGAGAGAAAAACCUGGAUCUUGAGGAGCUUAUAUUCUUGGUCUUUAGUCAUCUCUCGAAUGUUAUGCUGUUGGGACUGAAAGAUGUGCUACAAAAUGAAAAGAAUAAAACGAACUAGUGACCAUAGUUU